GUAUUUGUUAUAAUAUAUAUAAUUUCAGUCAAAUAUAUUUUAGACAUGUUUAUACAAAUAAAAUUGGCAGGCCGAGCAGACAAAGUCUAAACCCACGGCAGAGAGCCUAACCUGCCAACAAACACUUCAGUGAUUCACACAAGGUGGAUAUGGAUAUAAUUAUCCAUUAAAGUGGACAAUUGUUAAUGAUCCUUCCGCAGGUUCACCUACGGAAA
rnacentral:misc_RNA from 1 species